UCUUAUGGAUGAGCAAAGAAAGUGGUUUCUUGAGAUGAAAUUCACUUUUGGUGACGAUUCUGUGAA
rnacentral:pre_miRNA from 1 species